rnacentral:tRNA from 1 species
GCCCGGCUAGCUCAGUCAGUAGAGCAUGAGGCCCUUAAUCUCAGAGUCAUGGGUUCAUGUCCCACGUUGGGCG